AAAAAAAAAUCCAAAAAUCUACCAGUGAUAAAAGCACAGACUAUCUACCAAAGAAAGAAAAACAGAAUGAUAUCAGACUUUUCAUCAGCAACACUUGAUGCAUAAAACAAAUAUGGAAUAUAGUCUGAAUCAAUGGGAAAGUUCUCCGGAUAGAAAGAAAAUGAUACCGAUAGAACUUGUAUAUAUGGCAUCGAGCUAUGAAAUAUUGCAUUGUUUGGCUUUUAAGCCUACACUUAAAGCCAAAGAGAAAACUAGAAUUUAUCUUAAGUCUGGGGAUGGGUGUACAAGAACAUUUUAAGAAAGAGAAGUGAAACCGGGGCAUGCUCUGGGCAAAAUGACUAGUGCAUUCAGUCCUGGCUAAGCUUAAUUAAGUAAUGUGAGUUUGGAUACUUAUAAUUUUCUCAGCUGGAUAUUUAUUCUCAUUACACCAAUUGUGGCAAAGUAGUUAUCAAACAUACUCACUGAAUCUCUAUGCCAUACUUUACUUUCUGUAGAGCCUCUGGCAGCUGACAGAGUUUAUUUUACAGAAAACCCCCGGUCAGUGUGAUAGUUCAGAGCAUGACAGCUCCUUCUGCCAUAAGACAUGAUUUGAAUAGAAAGCUUUUGCUCGAAAACAAUGUAGUUUAGCCUAGUCUGUUAAUCAAAAAGUAGAAUGCUAGGAGCGGCAAUUUCAUCAUGUGGAAAACUUUUGAUGCAUUAUCUCAUCUACUCACCAAAUGCAGUCUUCCAGUGAAAAUCACCCCAUAUACUACCAGAUGGAAUUUUAUGCAAGCACAUGUAGAAGUGUGCCAGGAUAGUAAAAGGAGAAAUUUCAAAGCACAGCUGCCAGCUCUGCCUAACAUAGGACUGGAAGAACCAAAUUUAUAAGCGGGUGCUUGCCAGACAGCAGACCUCUCAGUUAAGCCAAUUAUGUAAAUGGGCCUUGAAGAAUGAUUUGUACCAGGAACAGUUUUGGAUGAAAGCCCUGCUCUUGUAAAGCCUUAUCCUGGAUCCAUACUGUUUUAAUAUUUUUGCUUUUCCUCCAGUUUGGUUUGAUUUGAUUUCCUGACUUGUGAAGAAGCUCUCCUUCAUCAAGCAACGGUGGGCAUUCAGAAUAAGACCUUUGUUAAAUUGAUAACUUGCAGGAGGACACGGAAUCAGCAGAAACAAUGGAAUGUUCAUUACUGUGCUAUAUUUUUAAGGUUAAAAAGGUGUUUAGCAAUAACAUUCCACUGAACUACAAUUGUAUUUAACAGCUUUUCUCCAGGAAUACCAAAGGAAACAUAAAAAACAGAAUGGGUUUCAUGCCAUGUGUAAAAUGUUUUACUUCUGGGUUUCAUUUCUUAAAAAAGCCUUCCACAUCUGCCAGGUGCUGACAAAUCAAAUCCUCAAUCUAACUAUAGCCACCAUGUGGAACCUGUGGCUGCGUUUAUGAUCCCAGCAGCUUCUGCUCCAGGCACAGAGUGAAGAAAUUACGAGUCAUACAGCUGAAGUAUGCACAGAAAAGAUUUCAACCUCAAAUAACAUCUGGAACUGAAGUUUCACUCCCCUUGUGUAUCCUCUUGAUACACAAAUGUAUCAAGACUUGGUCAGAACUGAAGGCCAGAACACUUUCAAAAGUGAAGGGAUACAAGCUCAGGAGUGUUAGGUGUUAAGAUCCGUUACCAUACUUUACCAUAUAUAGUCUUGUUUAAAGUUCUUCCAAUCAAAACCUACCAGCCAGCACCUCUGCAUACCAGCCUGCUGUCUCUAACCCAGAAAACUUGUCCCAGACUCCAGAAUGGGGAGAUGGAUUUGAGCUUUGUCUCCU